CUGCCUUGCAAGACCAGGAGAACAUCUGUUGACUGCGUAUUGAUCGAUAGCAGCACUGUAGGAGGACAGGCUUCAUCCAGAGAACCCGGAAUAUAGAACGUGGUACUUGCAAAUCCUCAUCAUAGAUGCAGUCAAAGAGAUUCAAGGAUGUGGAGAGAAACUUCUCACAUCUUGGAUUUGAGCAAGGUGGAGGCAAUCUUUUCGGACCAUGGAGCAGGCAGGGAUCAGACAACAUUUGCCAUGAAAAGAGAAAAAAUUCUAAAAGACCCUCUUCAAAUAUUCAGGGAGAACCACAGAAUGCUGAAGAAAAUCCUUAUCAGGAAUUUUAAUGAGCAAAAUAAAAUAUGAAAUCAGUGUGAUUAAAAUCAAAUCUUCCCCCUUCUGCUUGGCUGGAGCCGGCUGCCAACUCCGAAUGUGGGGAGGCACAGGGAGGCCUUUUGUAUUUAAUUACUGCCAGGGCUUUUUCUCAGUUCAAAGCUCUCUCCCAAGCCCCCACAGGGGUAACGGAGAACUUGAGAGAACAAAUAAGCUCCCUUCUGAGUGAUUUAGAACCCUGGACGACAAACAAUAAACAUUUUGACUCAAUUGGAGAGACCAAGCCAACUUGCCUUAAUUUGUGUCCCUGUUGGGAGCACAGAGAGGGCAUAAAUGAAGUUUGGGGGAAGCUGGGAUGUGGGAGCAUGCCCCACCUUACCAGGACGGCCCCUUAGUGGCCACUCAGUUCUUUAUUUUGUCCCCUCCUUUGUUUUCUCCCAGAAUCUCUUUAUGCAUCUCAAGCCUACAAUACUCUGUGAUACCUGGACUGUGAUAUUCACUUCUCCUGCCUGGUGGCCUAGUGGAUGCCUCAGCCCACU